AUGAACGCUAGCUACAGGCUUAACACAUGCAAGUCGAGGGGCAUCAGGAAGAAAGCUUGCUUUCUUUGCUGGCGACCGGCGCACGGGUGAGUAACACGUAUCCAACCUGCCCUUUACUCGGGGAUAGCCUUUCGAAAGAAAGAUUAAUACCCGAUAGUAUAAUGAUUCCGCAUGGUUUGAUUAUUAAAGGAUUCCGGUAAAGGAUGGGGAUGCGUUCCAUUAGGUUGUUGGUGAGGUAACGGCUCACCAAGCCUUCGAUGGAUAGGGGUUCUGAGAGGAAGGUCCCCCACAUUGGAACUGAGACACGGUCCAAACUCCUACGGGAGGCAGCAGUGAGGAAUAUUGGUCAAUGGGCGAUGGCCUGAACCAGCCAAGUAGCGUGAAGGAUGACUGCCCUAUGGGUUGUAAACUUCUUUUAUAUUAGAAUAAAGUGCAGUAUGUAUACUGUUUUGUAUGUAUAAUAUGAAUAAGGAUCGGCUAACUCCGUGCCAGCAGCCGCGGUAAUACGGAGGAUGCGAGCGUUAUCCGGAUUUAUUGGGUUUAAAGGGAGCGUAGGUGGACUGGUAAGUCAGUUGUGAAAGUUUGCGGCUCAACCGUAAAAUUGCAGUUGAUACUGUCAGUCUUGAGUACAGUAGAGGUGGGCGGAAUUCGUGGUGUAGCGGUGAAAUGCUUAGAUAUCACGAAGAACUCCGAUUGCGAAGGCAGCUCACUGGACUGCAACUGACACUGAUGCUCGAAAGUGUGGGUAUCAAACAGGAUUAGAUACCCUGGUAGUCCACACAGUAAACGAUGAAUACUCGCUGUUUGCGAUAUACAGUAAGCGGCCAAGCGAAAGCAUUAAGUAUUCCACCUGGGGAGUACGCCGGCAACGGUGAAACUCAAAGGAAUUGACGGGGGCCCGCACAAGCGGAGGAACAUGUGGUUUAAUUCGAUGAUACGCGAGGAACCUUACCCGGGCUUAAAUUGCAGUGGAAUGAUGUGGAAACAUGUCAGUGAGCAAUCACCGCUGUGAAGGUGCUGCAUGGUUGUCGUCAGCUCGUGCCGUGAGGUGUCGGCUUAAGUGCCAUAACGAGCGCAACCCUUAUCUUUAGUUACUAACAGGUCAUGCUGAGGACUCUAGAGAGACUGCCGUCGUAAGAUGUGAGGAAGGUGGGGAUGACGUCAAAUCAGCACGGCCCUUACGUCCGGGGCUACACACGUGUUACAAUGGGGGGUACAGAAGGCAGCUACCUGGUGACAGGAUGCUAAUCCCAAAAGCCUCUCUCAGUUCGGAUCGAAGUCUGCAACCCGACUUCGUGAAGCUGGAUUCGCUAGUAAUCGCGCAUCAGCCACGGCGCGGUGAAUACGUUCCCGGGCCUUGUACACACCGCCCGUCAAGCCAUGGGAGCCGGGGGUACCUGAAGUACGUAACCGCAAGGAGCGUCCUAGGGUAAAACUGGUGACUGGGGCU
rnacentral:rRNA from 1 species